CUACAUUUCUGUCCCCGUUCCCCAUUCUCCCAUGGUGGCCACAUCCCUCACCCCACAGCCUGGCGCCCUUUCUCAUGAACGCCGGCGCUCACUGGUCCGGCCAACGCUCCCCUUCGUCACCACCGCCGGUACUCCCUGGUCAGGUGGAGGCUCCCCUUCGCAGUCGCUGCUCUUCCUCCCCUUCAUGUCGAAUCGGUCACCGAAGUGGCCGGGGAGGCCCUCGAGGUCGGCAUGCUCGCACCAGCGCUAGGCGCCGGUGGAGGCAGAGGCGGAGGCGUGGCACUCGCAUGCGCCUUCUCUACCCCGCUCCUUCUCCGAAUCCGGUGGCCGAAGUGCUCGAGGAGGCGCUCGAGCUCGGCAUGCUCGCCGGCGACGGGCUUCUCGCUCCUCCGGAUGCCCUCGCCGUCGCCGCCAUGAGCCUCUCCAUCCUCUCUUGCGCGGUCGUCUGGGCCCAGGAAAGUCUCUCUCUCCAACCCCGCCGCCUGCUCCACCCCUGUAAAUUCGGUUCGUCGCCAGGUGCAUCGCCUCAUUGAGAAAUCACCAUGAAUGUUCCCAAGACCAUGUCUAAUUUACUCUGUUAUAGGGCUUUGUUAGAAAAGCUGAUUUAACUAAGUAUUAUUCUGCUCUAGAUUGCAGCACUGGUUGACAUGAUACAAUAUCUUUUCAAAAGAUGAUACAUUAUCUUCAUGAAAGAAAGGAAGUUGGAGAAGUUAUUAUUUAAGAGGAAUUCAGUGUCAUGUGGUUCUCAAGAGCUAAAAUGGAACAACAAGUGCAAGCCUGUCAUGCCUACACUAACUAAUCAGAUUUCCCGAGGGAGAAGAAGGAGGUGCCGAAAGGGUAUGGGAGUAACAAGUCUGAAUCGAAGAGUAUAUAUGUUUUGAUUUUGAGUUGCAUUGCCCAGUAUUUUUAUUGUUCUAAGAAAUCCAUGGAGAUGUCUAUGGAACAUUUCCUUGAUGUGAUAGGCAUAUUUGUUUACCACAUUCAGUUGUUGGCCCUGCUGUUGACGUCCAUGGUGGCGCUGAUGAUGAUCUUGGCAAGGAUUUGAUGUAUCUGCCUGGGGUCUUGGUAUGUCCUUGAGCACGCAUCAGGUAUGUAUGUAUCUGUUUGUAUAUUAGUGCAGUUUGUAGUUCAUUCGGUGCAUGUCCCUAAACCAAAGAAUUUUAGACAUCUCAAGUAGCAAAUUACAUGGUUUGGUGUGUCAUACAUGAUUUAAUAGAAAGCACCACCACAGCCUUGCGUGUGCUUGUAUAGCUACAUGGUGUUUCAGAGCAGCACUCUAUAAUUUGGCACAUGGCUUCAUGAUUUAUCGUAGCCGCUUCACAGGGUGCAUGCCUAUGAGUGUCUAUGUAUGUGCAUGUGUACUCGUCAUAGGACCGAGCUGAAACUAAUUAUGAUUAAUUUGCCCAUUCUGUGAUGUGCGCUUACGUGAAUACCAUUGGCACCUUUGUAAAUUCUCUAAGCUAAAUCCAAUAUUUCAGGUGUUCUUUGACCACUCAAUUCACCUUUGUAAAUUCUGAAAGCCAACUAUUUUGACACCAGGCCAAUUCAGUUAGUUACAAAAUUGCAGUAGCCAAAACACUCUUCAGAAUUCUGAUCAUCCUCUUCUUGCUCCCCUGAAUCUGUGUCAUCUAGCUCCCCUUCUUCCAGCUCCACCUAGAAAAUGGUAGAGCAUUCCUUGUAAAAUAGGUACAUACUUUUCAGCACAAAUGGAGUAUGGAAACAAGAAAAAUACUUUGCAGGGAUAACCAGAACAUCAUUCUUAGGUUACCAAGUUGAUCCAAUUGUAUAAAUAACUAACAGAACACAUUGUUGGGUCAAAUUAGAAAAUCCCAUCCAUCUCCCCAUGAACUGAAAGAAUUUGCAGGCCACAAGUGUCCGCGAGCAUCAAACCAACACAUUCAAAGAACAUACGACUGCAGCUGAUCCGACAGCUAAGCCAAGAACUCAUAGCCCCUACGAACUGAGUGCAUGCAACAUGGCAAGAACAAAACAAAUAAAUGAACAGGGUCUUGAAUCUUACACAUGGU